rnacentral:rRNA from 1 species
GCUACAGCCGUGCAAGGGAGGGGAGUAAUAGGGGGGGUGCAAGCGGGAAUGGGAAGUACGUGGCGUAAAGGUGACGCAGGCGGUUGGAUAAGUUAGGUGUGAAAGCCCCGGGCUCAACCUGGGAAUUGCAUUUAAAACGGUCCAGCUAGAGUUUUGUAGAGGGGGGUAGAAUUCCAGGUGUAGCGGUGAAAUGCGUAGAGAUCUGGAGGAAUACCGGUGGCGAAGGCGGCCCCCUGGACAAAGACUGACGCUCAGGUGCGAAAGCGUGGGGAGCAAACAGGAUUAGAUACCCGAGUAGUC